UUCUACCUACAAUCUAUCCACAGCCUAC
rnacentral:sRNA from 1 species